rnacentral:rRNA from 1 species
CACGUAGUUAGCCGGGGCUUCUUAGUCAGGUACCGUCAUUUUCUUCCCUGCUGAUAGAGCUUUACGUACCGAGAUACUUCUUCACUCACGCGGCGUCGCUGCAUCAUGGUUUCCCCCAUUGUGCAAUAUUCCCCACUGCUGCCUCCCGUAGGAGUUUGGGCCGUGUCUCAGUCCCAAUGUGGCCGUCCACCCUCUCAGGCCGGCUACUGAUCGCUGCCUUGGUGGGCCGUUACCCCCGCAACUAGCUAAUCAGACGCGGAUCCAUCGUAUACCACCGGAGUUUUUCACACUGCCCCAUGCGGAGCCGUGCGCUUAUGCGGUAUUAGCACCUAUUUCUAAGUGUUAUCCCCCGGUAUACGGCAGGUUAUCCACGCGUUACUCACCCGUCCGCCACUAACUCAUAAAUCACUAGGUUUCAAUAUGAGUCCGUUCGACUUGCAUGUGUUAAGCACGCCGCCAGCGUUCAUCCUGAGCCAGGAUCAAACUCU